rnacentral:sRNA from 1 species
CAUAUUCGAAGCAGCGUGCUCCUCCUCCCAUACGCGCUUCGAUGGGUUGACGACACUCCUCCUCCCAGUCGUCAGCCAACGCAAAUGACGCUCACCGGAUCCUCCUCCCCCGGUGGGCGUUAUUU